rnacentral:rRNA from 1 species
AGAGUUUGAUCCUGGCUCAGGACGAACGCUGGCGGCGCGCCUAACACAUGCAAGUCGAACGAGCGAGAGAGAGCUUGCUUUCUCGAGCGAGUGGCGAACGGGUGAGUAACGCGUGAGGAACCUGCCUCAAAGAGGGGGACAACAGUUGGAAACGACUGCUAAUACCGCAUAAGCCCACGGGUCGACAUCGAGCAGAGGGAAAAGGAGCAAUCCGCUUUGAGAUGGCCUCGCGUCCGAUUAGCUAGUUGGUGAGGUAACGGCCCACCAAGGCGACGAUCGGUAGCCGGACUGAGAGGUUGAACGGCCACAUUGGGACUGAGACACGGCCCAGACUCCUACGGGAGGCAGCAGUGGGGAAUAUUGCACAAUGGGGGAAACCCUGAUGCAGCGACGCCGCGUGGAGGAAGAAGGUCUUCGGAUUGUAAACUCCUGUUGUUGAGGAAGAUAAUGACGGUACUCAACAAGGAAGUGACGGCUAACUACGUGCCAGCAGCCGCGGUAAAACGUAGGUCACAAGCGUUGUCCGGAAUUACUGGGUGUAAAGGGAGCGCAGGCGGGAGAACAAGUUGGAAGUGAAAUCCAUGGGCUCAACCCAUGAACUGCUUUCAAAACUGUUUUUCUUGAGUAGUGCAGAGGUAGGCGGAAUUCCCGGUGUAGCGGUGGAAUGCGUAGAUAUCGGGAGGAACACCAGUGGCGAAGGCGGCCUACUGGGCACCAACUGACGCUGAGGCUCGAAAGUGUGGGUAGCAAACAGGAUUAGAUACCCUGGUAGUCCACACCGUAAACGAUGAUUACUAGGUGUUGGAGGAUUGACCCCUUCAGUGCCGCAGUUAACACAAUAAGUAAUCCACCUGGGGAGUACGACCGCAAGGUUGAAACUCAAAGGAAUUGACGGGGGCCCGCAC